AAAGGUCAAUUCUGCACUCCGUUGGCCUCGUUAAAUUGAUAGUGGAAUGCAAAGGUGAAGAGAUACAGCACUGAGGAUAGACGCAAGCUCACUGGAACAAGAAAACACUGGAACAGUUUGGGAGAGUGCACCCAUGACCUGGGUAGAAAACACAUGCGAACUGAAUGGAUGGGACCCAGCUCUGUGAAGGAUACAAAGUGGAUAAAAAGAAGAAAAGAAAGAACGUAACUGCAGAAGUUCAGUCAAUCCAUAGAGAUUUUAUAACAUAAACUCUGCAGUUCUACACGCAAAUGGUUUUAACAAAUAUCAUGAUAUAUAGAUAAUAUAACACAAAGCAGGAAAAUCAAUAAAGAGCCAAAGCCCUUGAAUUAUAAAUGCCCACUAAUAAAGAAUUGGUAGAGACCUGGCCUACAUUUCUAUGACUCGAAACCUCUCUGUAGCUGCCAAGACAGUCAUUACCAGAAUAAAAAGUCAAAAAGAAAACCACACAGUUUCCUAGCUGUGUUGAAUGGUAAGAAGUAGAGAAUGGUUAUGCUCUGAAAACACACCACAUGUAGGAAAGCUACCCCAGCACUAACGUUCGCUGUCAGGAAAAGUGACCUCAGUGGAUGCCUUUUCUCAUGUUAACCCCCCCUCCACACACACACACACACACACACUUUACUG